CACAGCUCCACUGUGCUUGUCUACUCCCACUACCUCAGCCCAGCAGCCGCGCCCACGCUUCAUUAUAGAGGAGCCUCCCAGUCUUUGCCUGCACCGCGCAGACCAGCUGACCACCGCGCACCACUCGGAAGCCGCCAUGGGAGAGGCCAAGAAGCAGGGCCACCCUCUCCUGAGGGGAGGAGACGGCGCGAGGAGGGAGGGCUACACCCACGGCUUCUCGGUGUCCCAGAUGGCGGCGCUGACCGCCCUGUGUGGCGCGCUGGUGCCGUCCCUGCCCCCGGAAACGGGCAGCAACGGCCAUCUGCAGCGGCAGGAGGAUGCCGGCGGCCGCGGCAGCCGGGGCGUCCCGCCGGAUGCCGGCAAGAAGGCCGCCGCUGUCGAGGAGUUCCUCCUCGCCUCCGCGGCCGACCCGCCCGUCCCGGACGAGGUGGCGGAGCUGAUGUCUCGGAUGUGCCUGCCCGAGGCGCUGGUGCUGGUGCGCACGCUGCUGUGGCUGCUGGGCACGCGGUUGGGGACUCUGGCGCUGUGCGGCGCGCGGUGCCUGUCGUGGCGGUUCCCGUUCCUGCGCCGGUUCGACGAGUUGCCCCUGGACGCGCGGGAGUGCGCGCUGCGGCGGUGGAGCCGCCAGACCCUGCUCCCGCCGCUGCGCAUGUUUUUCCUCAUCACCAAGGUCUUCUGCCUCUACGUCUUCUACUCCUGCACCGACGAGAACUCGGAGAAUCCUCAAUGGCGCGCGAUCGGGUACAGCCCGCCCGCAGCGCCGGCGGUGGAGGAAGGGCCUCCCAAGAAGCGGCCUCUCGACAACGGCGUCGUGGAGAUGAUCAAUGAAACCGACGCGUCCCUGCCGGCGUCCCUCUCGGAGAAAGGGCUCGCGCUGACCGAGGAUGCGGCGCGGAACGUGUGCAGGAUUGAGUGCGACGUCGUCGUCGUCGGGUCCGGCUGCGGCGGGAGCGUGGCCGCGGCGGUGCUCGCUGGGGCAGGGCACAAGGUGGUCGUCAUCGAGAGGGGCGGCUACUUCACUUCGCGGGACUAUACGGCCGUCGAGGGGCCCUCGAUGAGCCAGCUCUACGAGGGUGGCGGGUUCGUCAGCUCGCUAAGCGGAAGCGCGCUGCUCCUUGCCGGCUCGACGGUCGGAGGCGGCUCGGCCGUGAACUGGUCAGCGUGCAUCAAGACCCCUGAGGACGUGCGAGGGGAAUGGGCGCGCGAGCACGGGCUGCCGCUGUUCGUCAGCCCCGAGUAUGUCGCCGCCAUGGGCAAGGUGUUCGAGCGGCUCGGCGUGACGGACGGGUGCACGGAGGAGGGGCUCCAGAACAAGGUGCUCCGCAAGGGGUGCGAGAAGCUCGGGUACAAGGUGGAGUCAGUGUCGAGGAACUCGUCGGAGGGCCACUACUGCGGCAGCUGCAGGUACGGCUGCCGCACCGGGGACAAGCGCGGCACGGACACGACGUGGCUAGUCGACGCGGUGAGCCGCGGCGCGGUGAUCCUGACGGCGUGCAAGGCCGAGAAACUGCUGCUGGAACGUAGCAGCAGCGCGGCCGGCAGGGCAAAGCGUUGCGUCGGCGUGGUGGCGAAGAGCUCCAACCCGGCGAUCACGAGGACGCUGGAGGUUCGCGCCAGGGCGACCGUCUCAGCGUGCGGCUCGCUCCUCACGCCGGUGCUCCUGAGCGGGAGCGGGCUCAGCAACCACCACAUCGGCAAGAACCUCCACCUCCACCCAACGGCCCUGGUCUGGGGCUACUUCCCGGACACCAUGCCGGACCUCAAGGGCAAGAUGUACGAGGGCGGCAUCAUCACGUCCCUGCACAAGGUGGAAGGGCCGCCGGGCGCGCCGGCCCGGGCCAUCCUCGAGACGCCGGCGAUGGGCGUGGCCGCCGCGGGGACGCAGUUCCCUUGGGUGUCCGGGCGCGACAUGAAGGAGCGGAUGCUCAGGUACGGUCGGAUGGUGCACCUCUUCUCCAUGGUCAGGGACCGCGGGUCCGGCACGGUGCACGGAGAGCGCCGGAUCGCGUACCACCUGGACGCGACGGACAGGGAGAACAUGCGCGAGGGCCUGCGCCGAGCGCUGCGCGUCCUGGCCGCGGCGGGCGCGACGGAGAUCGGCACGCACCGGAGCGACGGGCAGAGGUUCACGUGCAAGGGCGCCACGGAGGCCGCGCUGGAGGAGUUCCUGGACAGCGUCGACGUGGUGCGCGGCCCGCAGUCGAAGGCCGAGGCGUGGAGCCUGUGCUGCACGGCGCACCAGAUGGGCAGCUGCCGGAUGGGCGCCACGGCGGGAGACGGCGCCGUGGACGCGCGCGGCGAGAGCUGGGAGGCCGAGCGGCUGUACGUGUGCGACGGCAGCGUCCUCCCCGGCGCUGUGGGAGUCAACCCCAUGGUCACCAUUCAGUCCGUCGCCUACUGCCUCGCCGCCGGCAUCGCUGAGUCGCUUAGGCGCGACCUGGCCUCUUGAAAGAGCCACUGAUACUACGUUCGUUAGGAUUUCCUUAUGUAUCCUCAUGGAAUGGCUCCAUGUCCUGCAAAUAACCUCAUCAUGAUUCAUGAUCGGUGUGAUGCAUAAGAGCUGCCACUCCGUGACUGCUCCGGCAAUCCUUACGUCGAAUUUCACAGUGAGUUCAGUACUGUUGAUGGUACUGUUUAUAUCACUGUGGUCGUCUGAUAUCUCUAAAAAUCAGUGAUAUCACUAAAGGAAUUCUCCCUUUAUUUUUUUCAUCUUGCGUGUUCUGCUUGCUCGCCGUGCAGAGUUGGUCUGUCUGCUCGUCGCCGGCACAGUGACUCCGAAGAACCAAUUCGAUAGUUGGUCCAUCUGCUUGUCAUUCUGAGGAAUUUAUAUGGAAUUUCUAUGAAAUUCACGCCCGUUUAGAAGACCGCCAAAACGUUUGUGGAAGCUUGGAACCU